AAAUGUAUAUCUAUCUAUCACUACAGCAUGUCUUAUUAACCUGCCUUCUGCCUGCCUUACGACUGUUUGCUCGGAGUUGGAGGGGAUCCCGAAGGAGAAGCGUCUUGUCAUUUGCUUGUCAAGGCCUCUAUCUGUGACAGCGCUUUGUGGAUGACUGGAUCUCAGUGCAGAGAGAGAGUCUGUCUAGUGAAGACACUACUGCACUAGCUCUGACAAACCUCUCAUUGCUACAUGUGUAUGGGAAAGUCAAUUUUUACAUUGCACAAAUUAGACUUAAUUCAAUUAACAGGCUGGUGAGCCUAGGCAGUUGUAGUAGUGGUAGUCUAUUAGAAAUAUUAAUUGUGAGGGGGUGACUUUUUUUGUCCGAUUUUUAUAAUGGUCACUACCAUGAAAUAAUCACCGUAUUGUUUACUUAUUUUAACAAUUAAUCAAAAAUCGAUUACUAUACCUGAUGCCUUCAUUGCUUUUUGACAAAUGUCAGUUGAGCGUAGUGUUCAUUAUUUAAGAUUCUGAGAAUGUUUAGUUUAUUACUUUAACCCCACUGUAGAUUCAGUCAUGUAAGGUGAAGUAUGAGGCUAGCUUGUGUACGUUUUCUUUCUGUAUUGAUGUUUCACUCCUAGACUAUUUAAAGGACGUAUUUCCUCUCUGAGGAGGCAGAGCACAACUGGUAAAGACAUGGUAAUGCAUCGGCAGCCACAACUGUUUGCCAUCAUUUACGAUGUUGCUUCCCUUGUGGUUUGCCAGAAAACAGGGUCCGUUUGAACAAUCGGUGCGGUGCCCUUUUGACUGUAUGUCUGAGGGGAUGUGGACACCUGCUCAACAAUUAAACUACAGAGGAGAGCAGACAUUGCCAAGAUAAAUAUUUGCCCUCCAAUUCAAAGUUGUGUUCACGUGUUUGAUUUGAGACGUGGAGGAUAUUACGUGUUUGUUCCUGACAGUCAGUUGACAGUGAUGUAAGCUCCGGUUCCCCACACUGAACACCUCUGUUCACUCGAACAGAGUACUCAGAACAUAACAGCACUGCUCAGUGACUGUGGAAUAUUUGGUUGCAUGUGAGGUUACUCAUAAGGCUAAACAUUUGCUAUUCAGGCUACCUCAUUUAAAUGAUGCUGUAGAUUUUAUUUGUAUUUUGCACUGUGACAGAGUUCCAAUGUUUAGUGUGGCUUAUUUGGAUGAAAUGUUCUUACUAGCUCAAGCAGAGUUACAAUGAGUUGUUUGUCUGUAUUCAGUCUCUAUCCAUAAAUCUGUAAAUAAACAAUGUUGUAAUUUC
ensembl:lncRNA